rnacentral:rRNA from 1 species
CGCUGCAGCCAUAUCACCCUGCAGCCCAAGACUGGUUAAUCAGUAAAGCUAAGCAGGGCUGAGCCUGGUCAGUACUUGGAUGGGAGACCACAUGGAAAAACUAGGUUGCUGUUGGAA